rnacentral:rRNA from 1 species
UGGGGAAUUUUGGACAAUGGGGGCAACCCUGAUCCAGCCAUGCCGCGUGAGUGACGAAGGCCUUAGGGUUGUAAAACUCUUUCGUCGGGGACGAUAAUGACGGUACCCGAAGAAGAAGCUCCGGCUAACUUCGUGCCAGCAGCCGCGGUAAUACGAAGGGAGCUAGCGUUGUUCGGAAUCACUGGGCGUAAAGCGCACGUAGGCGGAUAGUUAAGUCAGGGGUGAAAUCCUGGGGCUCAACCCCAGAACUGCCUUUGAUACUGGCUGUCUCGAGGUCGAGAGAGGUUGGUGGAAUUCCUAGUGUAGAGGUGAAAUUCGUAGAUAUUAGGAAGAACACCAGUGGCGAAGGCGGCCAACUGGCUCGAUACUGACGCUGAGGUGCGAAAGCGUGGGGAGCAAACAGGAUUAGAUACCCAUGUAGUCCCUGAGCGGGCUGGCAAGGCGCAU